rnacentral:lncRNA from 1 species
AACGAUAUUUUUCCGCGUCCUGUCGCGAGGGAUCACAUUUUUUUUCGAGGUGCGACAGGCUGGCGACUCUGCUGGGGACCCAUGCUCCAAGCAAGAGAGAGUGAAGCCAAGCUUAGUUCAAUAUCUAUAUUGAAUGUUAAUCAUGGUUGUUUGUUUGUUAUCUUUAUUCUGUUAUUAUUAUUCUGUGUAAUUAUUAUUGUGGUUUAUUUCUUAUGACACUAUUGGGGUUCUCUGAUGGUUGGUACUUUGUGAGAU